UAAUGGAUUACCUGGGGCUAUUGUUAGAAUUGCAGAUUCUAAAUCCACAGUUCUUACAGGGGGUUUGACACUCUACAUUUCUAACAAGCUUUCUGGUAGUAUGGAU
rnacentral:miRNA from 1 species